AUUGAACCCUGGCGGCAGGCCUAACACAUGCAAGUCGAGCGGAUGAAGGGAGCUUGCUCCUGGAUUCAGCGGCGGACGGGUGAGUAAUGCCUAGGAAUCUGCCUGGUAGUGGGGGAUAACGUCCGGAAACGGGCGCUAAUACCGCAUACGUCCUGAGGGAGAAAGUGGGGGAUCUUCGGACCUCACGCUAUCAGAUGAGCCUAGGUCGGAUUAGCUAGUUGGUGGGUAAAGGCCUACCAAGGCGACGAUCCGUAACUGGUCUGAGAGGAUGAUCAGUCACACUGGAACUGAGACACGGUCCAGACUCCUACGGGAGGCAGCAGUGGGGAAUAUUGGACAAUGGGCGAAAGCCUGAUCCAGCCAUGCCGCGUGUGUGAAGAAGGUCUUCGGAUUGUAAAGCACUUUAAGUUGGGAGGAAGGGCAGUAAGUUAAUACCUUGCUGUUUUGACGUUACCAACAGAAUAAGCACCGGCUAACUUCGUG
rnacentral:rRNA from 1 species